rnacentral:rRNA from 1 species
ACGAACGCUGGCGGCGUGCCUAAUACAUGCAAGUCGAACGCUUCUUUUUCCACCGGAGCUUGCUCCACCGGAAAAAGAGGAGUGGCGAACGGGUGAGUAACACGUGGGUAACCUGCCCAUCAGAAGGGGAUAACACUUGGAAACAGGUGCUAAUACCGUAUAACAAUCGAAACCGCAUGGUUUUGAUUUGAAAGGCGCUUUCGGGUGUCGCUGAUGGAUGGACCCGCGGUGCAUUAGCUAGUUGGUGAGGUAACGGCUCACCAAGGCGACGAUGCAUAGCCGACCUGAGAGGGUGAUCGGCCACAUUGGGACUGAGACACGGCCCAAACUCCUACGGGAGGCAGCAGUAGGGAAUCUUCGGCAAUGGACGAAAGUCUGACCGAGCAACGCCGCGUGAGUGAAGAAGGUUUUCGGAUCGUAAAACUCUGUUGUUAGAGAAGAACAAGGAUGAGAGUAACUGUUCAUCCCUUGACGGUAUCUAACCAGAAAGCCACGGCUAACUACGUGCCAGCAGCCGCGGUAAUACGUAGGUGGCAAGCGUUGUCCGGAUUUAUUGGGCGUAAAGCGAGCGCAGGCGGUUUCUUAAGUCUGAUGUGAAAGCCCCCGGCUCAACCGGGGAGGGUCAUUGGAAACUGGGAGACUUGAGUGCAGAAGAGGAGAGUGGAAUUCCAUGUGUAGCGGUGAAAUGCGUAGAUAUAUGGAGGAACACCAGUGGCGAAGGCGGCUCUCUGGUCUGUAACUGACGCUGAGGCUCGAAAGCGUGGGGAGCAAACAGGAUUAGAUACCCUGGUAGUCCACGCCGUAAACGAUGAGUGCUAAGUGUUGGAGGGUUUCCGCCCUUCAGUGCUGCAGCUAACGCAUUAAGCACUCCGCCUGGGGAGUACGACCGCAAGGUUGAAACUCAAAGGAAUUGACGGGGGCCCGCACAAGCGGUGGAGCAUGUGGUUUAAUUCGAAGCAACGCGAAGAACCUUACCAGGUCUUGACAUCCUACUAACGAGAUAGAGAUAUGUUAGGUGCCCUUCGGGGAAAGUAGAGACAGGUGGUGCAUGGUUGUCGUCAGCUCGUGUCGUGAGAUGUUGGGUUAAGUCCCGCAACGAGCGCAACCCUUAUUGUUAGUUGCCAUCAUUUAGUUGGGCACUCUAGCAAGACUGCCGGUGACAAACCGGAGGAAGGUGGGGAUGACGUCAAAUCAUCAUGCCCCUUAUGACCUGGGCUACACACGUGCUACAAUGGGAAGUACAACGAGUCGCAAAGUCGCGAGGCUAAGCUAAUCUCUUAAAGCUUCUCUCAGUUCGGAUUGUAGGCUGCAACUCGCCUACAUGAAGCCGGAAUCGCUAGUAAUCGCGGAUCAGCACGCCGCGGUGAAUACGUUCCCGGGCCUUGUACACACCGCCCGUCACACCACGAGAGUUUGUAACACCCGAAGUCGGUGAGGUAACCUUUUGGAGCCAGCCGCCUAAGGUGGGAUAGAUGAUUGGGGUG